UAAGGAGUUUGGUGACCGAUUAUUAUGUAGGUUUUCCACCCACAAACGAGAGAAAGUAUUUUUGUUUUCUAUUUUCUAUUUUCUUCUUUUCUUUUCUCACUUCGUUCUCUGUAAUCUCUUCCUUUCCUUUCGUCUGUGAAUCCCCCAGUAAAGUUAGUAUCAUCAUCUUCCACCGGAAGAAAUCGAUAUCUCGAAAGAUCGUCUCCGUCAUGGAUCCUCCGCAGCGCUCAUCCACCACCUCAGGAUCGGUCUGAACCUAUCUCUCGUUAUUUUUCGUCGUACAUGAUGUAUGUGGCCCUCCUUCUCUUUGCACUCGGCACCAAGCUCUAUUUCAUUUUCUAAGGGGAAAUAAAGAUAAACUCUUUGAAGUUAGUAGCAGCACCAGCUACAUAAGAGGAUGGGAGCAUCAGAGGCUCUAACUGAUCCAUCGAGCCUAUAAGAUGUGGGCAACGUUGAAUUUUCCGACACGUAUACGAUGCUUACCGUGAGAAAUGCACUUGCAUCUGUCCAGAAUGUGAGUCUUGCCUUCUCUCCUUUGUUUAUGUGUUUGAUUGAUGCUAUUUAUGUUCAUGCUUUAUGACUCUACGUUUAUGUUCUUAUGACUCAUGAUGUCUGUGGCCCUGUGCUUUUGGUAUCUUCAAGAGAGAGUUCAGUGACAAGGCUAAGGUUUGGGACUCGGAGAAGAUCGUUGUUAUACCAGACCAUUACAUAUUUACAGCUGAUAAGCGUGCAAACCGCAACGUGGAUAUUAUGAGGGAUUACUGCAGGGAAAAAAACGUCGUUGUUAUCAAGGCUAAUCCUGAUUACAAAGGUGUUUGCCAUGUUGCGCUUGCACAAGAAGGUCAUUGAAGGCCAGAAGAGGUUUUGUUAAGAACAGACUCACACACAUGUACUGCUGGAGCAUUUGGUCAGUUUGCUAAGGGAUUGGAAACAUUGAUGCAUGCUUUGUGUUAGGCAUUGGACAAAUUCUUCUCAAGAAAGGAAUGAAGCCAAAGGAGAAGUAUGGAGGAGUUUGGGUCUGGUGCAAAGAUAAAACAAGAUCUUCAGAGAUUGUCUAUCAAGGCUUCAUGAGGGUUUAAAGAAGUCCAGAAGUGUCAUGAAGGCUGUACAGAGAUAGGGUUUAAGUCCAAGAGGGACUUAGACAUCAUUUGGAGAGAAUUGGGUGAUGGUGCAAAUAGGAGAUAGGGCAUCCCGGAAGUUCAGACGGUACGGUUCCGUACGGACCGUGCAAACUUAGGGCGACCCAAAUGGAGUUAGGAUCAAUCUUGUGAGAAGCUUGAGUGAGAUGUGCAAAGUUACGGCAAGGUACGGACAGGCAGUCCGUACCAUUGACCGUACAAGAAGAAGUGGUCGUACCAAGCUGAUUCAUGUCGACCAAGAGAAGUACAAACUUAGGGCGCGGCUUACCUUGAUGAAAUAUGACCAUUGGGGAGUUCAGAUGAUAAGGGAAUAUGCCAUAGGAUCUGUGUGGUCCAAGACAUGCUGGAAAGGGAAAGACACUUUUACUUUACAGCCUUAUCCACACAAGAAUCCAUCCUGUCCCUUGAUUCAAACUGAAGCGAUCCCAUCCAUUCAAGCCAGCCUGUUCGAGUUGUAUCUUCAACCAAUAAGGAGACAUCACUCAGAUUACAUUGACCAGACCAAGACUACAUCCUAGGCGUCCAUAUUCUCAAGCAAGAUCAACCAUUAGAUUUAGGUUUAUGAAUGUGCAAGUUGUAAGCUUAUAAAUAAGCAUGUAUGAGGCAUUUUGUAAGCUCUCAAGUGAGUAAGGGGGUUUCUCUUCUCCUUCAUGGAAAUGAAAAACUAGUUCUUGAA